rnacentral:lncRNA from 1 species
AAAGGACAAGAAAAAAGGUCGGACAAUAAAAAGAAAAUUUGUACAACUUUAUUUUUUGGUUUCCCAUCCGUGUCCGAUAUCACUCAGAAUAAAACACUUUUUAAUAAAAGUGAUUUUAUACUCAGAGAAUUUAAACUCGAGAUCUUUAAUUAAGAAUAUAGAAAUUCUUUGUUACACCAACAACAAAAAAAAACAAAAAAAUUAUAUUUGAUUUUCAUCAUCAUGUAAUAUAUAUCUCAGCAAAAUAUAAUAAUAAUAAAAAAUCCAUUGGAGAGCUUCAGGAAAACCCUAAACACCCUUGAGCUUCAAAGUCAUCAGACUCGGGAUUUGAAAUUUAUGAGUGCUGAAAUUGUCACCGAAUUAAUAAUUAAAUAUUCAUAAUAGAAAUGUAAAGUCUAAACAAAAAACUAUUGAAUUUAUCUGAAUCCGUACCUAAUAUGUAGCUCCGCUCCAGCCUUAAUAACUAAAGCUUCACAUAAAAACAGCUCAAGGUUGAAUUAGGAUCAGGCAAAUAUAAGCUGCAAAUGAAAAAAAGAUAAAGAUAUUAAUUAGUGUAUAAAACUUAAUUAAUUAACCAAGAAAAUUUCAAGUGUAUAUUUAACCCUAGCAAGUUAAUUAAAUCAUGCAUGACCAAUACUAUAUAUGUUUAAUUUGUCGAAUAAAUAUUAGGUACUCGGUAAAAUAAUCGAUAUGAAAAAAGGUAAGAGGGAGCUCCCUUCAGUCCAAGUACAGGAAGCUCAAGACUCAACUUGUACUCCCGCUUCAUUCACUCAGUUGCUGAGGUGGCAUUCGACUAUCAAGACCUCAACAUUUGGAUGAAUGAGUCGGCAGCAAAUUGAACCCUAUCGCCCCCCAUGUGUGGACCGAAGAAAGCUCUCUUCAUAUAUAUAUCCAAUCAGAUAACAAUAAUUAUUACGCCUCAAUCAGAUACACUUCGUUCCACUUAAUACUAUAAAAACUUAACCCUAUAACACAAGACAUUUGCAUAUUAACUUUUUUUUUUUUUAUGUAGAUGAUAUGAGAGAAAUAUAUGCUAAGAGGUAAAGAGGAAAUGUGGAGUACUAGCUAGGUG